GAAUAAUCGUAAAGAUUGAGUAAAAAAUAGUGUAAAACAUGAAAAUACGAGUCACAAAUUGUUAAAAAUCAGAGGUUUGAGAUGUUUGGGUUAAGAUUAGGGUUUCAUAGGAAACCAGUGAGAGGGGGUAAGAGAAACCUGGCUGUGAAGCUCAAAGAUAAUGACAUUUUUAGCAUCAUCGAACAAAAAUCCCUCGUAGAAAGGCUAGAAUCGAACCUCGACGAGGCUCUAGUAACCAUCUUCAUGGUGGAGGCUUCUGGGUUUUCAAGCUUUGGAGAGAAGAUGGUGGUACAAGGACUCCAUGGUUGGUGGAGAUCGAGAGAGGUGAGGGAGGAGUGAGCCGGAGAGGCGAUGGUCGUCACCGGAGAAGAUGGAGAGAACCAGAAGGUUCUAGAGAGAUGAGAGGUUAGAGAGCAUAUGUUAGAGAGAUAGAG
rnacentral:lncRNA from 1 species